AGAGUUUGAUCAUGGCUCAGAAUCAACGCUGACGGCGUGCCUAACACAUGCAAGUCGAACGAGAAAGGGUAGCAAUACCUGAGUAAAGUGGCGCACGGGUGAGUAACACGUGACUAACCUACCCUGGAGUGGGGGAUAACUGAGGGAAACCUUAGCUAAUACCGCAUAACACCUACGGGUCAAAGGAGCAAUUCGCUUUGGGAGGGGGUCGCGGCCGAUUAGUUAGUUGGCGGGGUAAUGGCCCACCAAGACGAUGAUCGGUAUCCGGCCUGAGAGGGCGCACGGACACACUGGAACUGAAACACGGUCCAGACUCCUACGGGAGGCAGCAGUGGGGAAUUUUGCGCAAUGGGGGAAACCCUGACGCAGCAACGCCGCGUGGAGGAUGAAGCCCCUUGGGGCGUAAACUCCUUUCGACCGGGAAAAUAAUGAUGGUACCGGUGGAAGAAGCACCGGCUAACUCUGUGCCAGCAGCCGCGGUAAUACAGAGGGUGCGAGCGUUGUUCGGAAUUAUUGGGCGUAAAGGGCGCGUAGGCGGUGCGGUAAGUCACCUGUGAAAUCCCCGGGCUUAACUCGGGGCCUGCAGGCGAAACUGCCGUGCUGGAGGGUGGGAGAGGUGCGUGGAAUUCCCGGUGUAGCGGUGAAAUGCGUANAUAUCGGGAGGAACACCUGUGGCGAAAGCGGCGCACUGGACCACUACUGACGCUGANGCGCGAAAGCCGGGGGAGCAAACAGGAUUAGAUACCCUGGUAGUCCCGGCCCUAAACGAUGAUUGCUUGGUGUGAUCGGUAC
rnacentral:rRNA from 1 species